rnacentral:lncRNA from 1 species
GCUGUACCCACAGUCCUAUUUGUCUUGAAGUACAAACAGUACAAGAUGGAAAAUUGGAAGAAAAUGGCUUGGAGAGAAUACAAAGAAAAAAACCCACAAUACCAGAUUUGGGAUACUUUCCUAUGCUUUGUUGGUCAGAGAGGUCUCAGAAGCAUCCAAAGCAAUAUGGAUUAUCAUCACUGCUUUUGAUUGGUUGCCCACAAGAACAUGAAGGCCCAUGGUGGAUUUCUUACAAACCUAUGAGGAUAAUGUGAGACAAUAGAUUUUGUAGGUUUGUAAAUGGCAUAGAAGUGAAGAGAGGAGUGCACUGGGCUGAUCUUCAAAGACAUCUGGUGAAGAUGAAC